AGUGAACGCUGGCGGUAGGCCUAACACAUGCAAGUCGAACGGCAGCACAGUAAGAGCUUGCUCUUACGGGUGGCGAGUGUCGGACGGGUGAGGAAUACAUCGGAAUCUACUUUUUCGUGGGGGAUAACGUAGGGAAACUUACGCUAAUACCGCAUACGACCUACGGGUGAAAGCAGGGGAUCUUCGGACCUUGCGCGAUUGAAUGAGCCGAUGUCGGAUUAGCUAGUUGGCGGGGUAAAGGCCCACCAAGGCGACGAUCCGUAGCUGGUCUGAGAGGAUGAUCAGCCACACUGGAACUGAGACACGGUCCAGACUCCUACGGGAGGCAGCAGUGGGGAAUAUUGGACAAUGGGCGCAAGCCUGAUCCAGCUAUACCGCGUGGGUGAAGAAGGCCUUCGGGUUGUAAAGCCCUUUUGUUGGGAAAGAAAAGCAGCAGGUUAAUACCCCGCUGUUCUGACGGUACCCAAAGAAUAAGCACCGGCUAACUUCGUG
rnacentral:rRNA from 1 species